rnacentral:rRNA from 1 species
UACGUAGGGUGCAAGCGUUGUCCGGAAUUAUUGGGCGUAAAGAGCUGUAGGCGGUUUGUCGCGUCUGCUGUGAAAUUUCGGGGCUCAACCCCGAACUUGCAGUGGGUACGGGCAGACUAGAGUGUGGUAGGGGAGACUGGAAUUCCGUGGUGUAGCGGUGAAAUGCGCAGAUAUCAGGAGGAACACCGAUGGCGAAGGCAGGUC